rnacentral:lncRNA from 1 species
CGCGGUGGCUAGCAAGACGUACAACUUAAAGAAGGGCCAGACCCAUACCUUGGAAGACUUCCAGCGAGUUCUUGAUGUGAAUCUCAUGGGCACCUUCAAUGUGAUCCGCCUGGUGGCUGGUGAGAUGGGCCAGAAUGAACCAGACCAGGGAGGCCAACGUGGGGUCAUCAUCAACACUGCCAGUGUGGCUGCCUUCGAGGGUCAGGUGUGUGGGCAGGGGUCUGUUUGGCACCCCACUGCUGACCAGCCUCCCAGAGAAAGUGUGCAACUUCUUGGCCAGCCAAGUGCCCUUCCCUAGCCGACUGGGUGACCCUGCUGAGUAUGCUCACCUCGUACAGGCCAUCAUCGAGAACCCAUUCCUCAAUGGAGAGGUCAUCCGGCUGGAUGGGGCCAUUCGUAUGCAGCCUUGAAGGGAGAAGGCAGAGAAAACACACGCUCCUCUGCCCUUCCUUUCCCUGGGGUACUACUCUCCAGCUUGGGAGGAAGCCCAGUAGCCAUUUUGUAACUGCCUACCAGUCGCCCUCUGUGCCUAAUAAAGUCUCUUUUUCUCACAGAG